AACGAACGCUGGCGGCGCGCCUAACACAUGCAAGUCGAACGAGAAUCCGGGGCAACCCGGUAGUAAAGUGGCGAACGGGUGAGGAAUACAUGGGUAACCUGCCCUUGAGGAUGGAAUAACCCGCCGAAAGGCGAGCUAAUACCAUAUACGCUUGUUGUCUCACGGGAUAGCAAGGAAAGCUGAACCGAGGGUUUGGCACUCAAGGAGGGGCUCAUGUCCUAUCAGCUUGUUGGUAGGGUAACGGCCUACCAAGGCAACGACGGGUAGCUGGUCUGAGAGGAUGAUCAGCCACACUGGCACUGAGACACGGGCCAGACUCCUACGGGAGGCAGCAGUGAGGAAUAUUGCGCAAUGGGCGAAAGCCUGACGCAGCGACGCCGCGUGGGGGAUGAAGGUUUUCGAAUUGUAAACCCCUUUUCAGGAGGAAAGAGAAGGUGGGUUACCACCUAGACGGUACCUCCAGAAGAAGCCACGGCUAACUUCGUG
rnacentral:rRNA from 1 species